rnacentral:rRNA from 1 species
GAUGAACGCUGGCGGCGUGCCUAAUACAUGCAAGUCGAGCGAACGGACGAGAAGCUUGCUUCUCUGAUGUUAGCGGCGGACGGGUGAGUCACACGUGGAUAACCUACCUAUAAGACUGGGAUAACUUCGGGAAACCGGAGCUAAUACCGGAUAAUAUUUUGAACCGCAUGGUUCAAAAGUGAAAGACGGUCUUGCUGUCACUUAUAGAUGGAUCCGCGCUGCAUUAGCUAGUUGGUAAGGUAACGGCUUACUAAGGCAACGAUGCAUAGCCGACCUGAGAGGGUGAUCGGCCACACUGGAGCUGAGACACGGUCCAGACUCCUACGGGAGGCAGCAGUAGGGAAUCUUCCGCAAUGGGCGAAAGCCUGACAGAGCAACGCCGCGUGAGUUAUGAAGGUCUUCGGAUCGUAAAACUCUGUUAUUAGGGAAGAACAUAUGUGUAAGUAACUGUGCACAUCUUGACGGUACCUAAUCAGAAAGCCACGGCUAACUACGUG